GCGGCAGCUCGGCCAGGCGGCGGCUCGGGCGGGCGCGUGCGGCUCGCUGGCCGCCGAGGCUCUCCUCCUCCUCCGCCCUCCCGACCCUAGCAGUUCAUUGGUCUUUCCCGCGGCCAGCAUCACUUGCACAAAUUGCAGCAUCCCGACGGCAAGAUGACGGGCCUGAGGAGAGGAGGCUCAGCACAUACAGCAACUUUAUGGGGAAUUAUACCGAGGAUUAAGCCCAGAGAGAGAGAGAGAGAGAGAGAGAGAGAGAGAGAGAGAGAGAGAGAGAGAGAGAGAGAGAAAGAAAGAAAGAAAGAAAGAGAGAGAGAGAGAGAGAGAG